UUAAGUAAUUUUUUUUUUUGUUUUUAUUAUGUUGAUUAUAUGUUUUUUUUUUAUUUUUAAACUUGUUGAUUUUACCGGACCUUUAAAAACUUGUAGAAAUAACUAUAAAAGAAGUGACAAUUAGUAUUUAGGCCUUAAUGAAUUUUAAACGAAUAUAUGUAUUUCUCAUAAGAAGACAAUAGCAUUGGUCUUUUGACAUUGAGCAUGUAAGCUAUUUUAUAAGACAAGAGGAGUGAGUAGGUGGAGAUGUUUGUCUGUUAGGAUUGUCUCUUGUAUCUCCUGGUGUGGUUGUGUUUGUUUCUCUUUUAUUUGAUGGGUAAUAUGUAAACAAAAAUCAUUGUUAGCUGUAUUUAUCAGAGUUUGUAACUUACUCUUCUUUUUUAUUUAGGUAAUUUCACUGAUCUUGGUUGUCGUCUUCUUCGUAAGCAUCUGCGAAAGUAAGUUUGUAAAU
rnacentral:lncRNA from 1 species